GCUUCGCGCUUUGACCCUCCGCGCGGCCCGUUGCCGGCCGCGGCGGCGGGAAGAUCCGAGGGGCAGCCGCGCCGCCGCCUCUCUCCGCCUGGGCGCGCCCGGCGCGAUGGAAGAGGCCGAGGCCGACGAGCAGCAGCAGUUCUCCUACCAGCAGAGGCUGAAGGCGGCCGUGCACUACACCGUUGGUGGGCUCCUUGAGGAGGUGGCUGAGGACAAGGAGGUGACGUUCAGCAGACAGACCAUCGCCGCCAUCUCGGAGCUGACGUUCCGGCAGUGUGAAAAUUUCGCCAAAGACCUGGAAAUGUUUGCAAGACACGCGAAAAGAAGCACCAUUAACGCCGAGGACGUGAAGCUGUUGGCCAGGAGGAGCAACCCACUGGUGGCGUCACGCUCAGCCUUCCGAGCCCCCGUCCCAGACUCGUCUGCUCUUAUUAUGUUCAAUCACGCGGCUUUGUUCCCCGGCUCCUGCCGGCUGCCGGCGUGACGGGGAGGAAGCGGUUCUUCAGAACCAGCCCGCGAUCCAGCCGGCCCGCCCCGCGCCCGUCACACGCCUGCCCGCGCGUCAGCUUAGGUUCAUCCCGGUCCAGACGCUUUUGUGCCGACUCGGGCGUCUGCGUCACUGCCCGUGCGUGCCGGGAAAGAGGGGCCCGGCCCCCCGAGCCGGGCAAGUACAAAAGGCCCAGCUGCGGGCGCCGACACCCCUGCACCCACAGAGCACCGGCUCCCGGACGCCGAGAGCUGGGGCGCAGGGCCGGGCAGCCCCGAGAUGCCUCUGCCGCUGGCCCCCGCGCUGUCGCUGCUGCUGCUGCUGCUGCUGCAGGUCUCGGGGGGCCUGUCCCGGGAGGGCGGCCUCGCCGGCCCCAACGGCGCGCAGAUGCCGGACGUGGCCGAGCGGGAGCCCGCCAGCCUGCCCGCCUUCCUGGCCUGGUGGCACAGGCAGGGCCCCCGGGCCGAUGCAGGCCCCUCCUGGCAGACGGCCAAGCGGCAGGACAGCCUGCCCCCCCAGCCGCCCCCGCGCCCCGCGAAGCCGCUCUGCAGAAACUUCUUCUGGAAGACCUUCUCCUCCUGCAAGUAGCCCCCGCCCGCCCGCACAGCCCAAUAAACGCCCGAGCAGCUGUGGUCUCUC